GUCAGUUAUGAAUUACAUUUGACUGCAAAUGACAGACCUAACUAGUGGCUUAAACAGAUAAGGGUGAAUUUUUAAGUACAGAGGUAGGUUGUUGCUGGCAUUUGUUUGGUGCUUUAUGGAUGUGAGUUUCCUGAUACUUUCUCCGUGGUCCAAAAAUGGCUGCCGGAAUUUUGGCCUUCAUGUCCAGGUUGGCAGUAGAAGGCAGCAGAGGAGUACAAGAGGGAUACUACAUUUUGAGAAGAUUACUCUUAAUCCAAAAUUAGAAAGCAGCCUUUCAAGGAACGGCAUUCUGUAUCCACGUGUCAAAGAACCAGCCCUGUGGAACAGCUGGUUUUUAAAGUUUAUUGAUUACUAAUAACGAGGCAGCAUCCAGGAAAAUGUGUGCACUGGGAUAACUUGGCUCUUUCCGACAAUCUGUGAGGUAAGUAGGCUGAGAAUGAUCAUUCCUAUCUUACCAAUGAAGAAAGUGAGUCUUGGAGCAGCUCCCUAGAAUCCAAACCCCCUGACUUCUAGUCGAAUGCUCAAAUACUGUUUAGCACUAAAGGCUACUAUUCUUUCCUAAUAUCGCUUUAGAGACUUAUUUAACUGCAGAAUAUUGUUUUUCUCUCUCAACUACAGUGGUUCUCUGGAGCAGGAGGGCAGAUUUGCUUUGGUCAGAGUCAGCCUUCAACUUUAAUGCCAUCCCUACUUCAUCUUAUGUCCUAAAGAAAGUCUCGAGCAAACAUCACUACCGAUGUCUGAGGAUACUUGAUCCUCUGCUUGAAAAUAGGGAUGCUAACACUUGCUCCAAACAAAUUCCUAAGGAUGGGGACAGGACAAUCUUUGUCAAACAAGAUGAAUUUGACUGGUCAGUAAGGCAAAAUGCUUAGGAGCUCAGGCCGAGUCAGAGACAUCUGGGUUUAAAGCUUUGUUCUGCCACCUACUGGCUGUGACAUCAUCAUCUCACGGAGCCUCAAGGUCCUUACCUGUAAAAUGGGACUAAUAAUAAGACCUGCCUUUUUGGGCUAUUGGGAGGAUUAGAUAAGAUAAUACGUGUAAAAGCAUGAACACUGUACUACUGUUUAAAAAUACGUUGAUUGUGUUUCCUGCUUAGUUUCACUGUGUGGUUUAUACUCAGUAUAGCAGGUGUGGAAUAAACCUAGUCAGUAGUAUCCUGCUGGAUCA
rnacentral:lncRNA from 1 species